CCUACGGGCGGCAGCAGUGGGGAAUAUUGCACAAUGGGGGAAACCCUGAUGCAGCAACGCCGCGUGAAGGAAGACGGUUUUCGGAUUGUAAACUUCUGUUCUUAGUGAAGAAUAAUGACGGUAGCUAAGGAGCAAGCGACGGCUAACUACGUGCCAGCAGCCGCGGUAAUACGUAGGUGGCAAGCGUUGUCCGGAAUUACUGGGUGUAAAGGGAGCGCAGGCGGGAAGCCAAGUCAGGUGUGAAAACUCCGGGCUUAACUUGUAGACUGCAGUUGAAACUGGGUUUCUUGAGUGGACGAGGAGUAGGCGGAAUGCGGGGUGUAGCGGUGAAAUGCAUAGAUAUUAGGCGGAACACCGGUGGCGAAGGCAGCCAACCGGGGUCUAACUGACGCUGAGGCUCGAAAGUGUGGGUAGCAAACAGGAUUAGAUACCCCUGUAGUC
rnacentral:rRNA from 1 species